UACGUAGGGGGCUAGCGUUGUCCGGAUUUAUUGGGCGUAAAGAGCGUGUAGGCGGCCAGGUAGGUCCGGUGUGAAAACUCGAGGCUUAACCUCGAGAUGUCAUCGGAAACCAUCUGGCUAGAGUCCGGAAGAGGAGAGUGGAAUUCCUGGUGUAGCGGUGAAAUGCGCAGAUAUCAGGAAGAACACCAAUAGCGAAGGCAGCUCGCUGGGACGGUACUGACGCUGAGGCGCGAAAGCGUGGGGAGCGAACAGG
rnacentral:rRNA from 1 species